rnacentral:lncRNA from 1 species
GGCGUGUCAGGUCCUGCCGACUGCAGCCUAACUUACUGCACCUGUUCUGGAGCCUCACACUCCCUGACUGACUCACACACAGAAACCGGAGUUCUGGUGGCACCUGCAGCGUGGCCCCAACUCAGCUGGGACGAGGCUUGGACACAUCCAAAACCAACGCCACCACCAGCACCUCCCUCCCUCCCUUCACACCUCUGCCCCACUACCCAGACACUAACCCCAAACUCUAGGACACUGGACUGGGCCCGGGAGGGCUGAUCGGAGACUGGACAGACGCCAAGACAUUCAACCUCUCCGCCUGAAAUGGGAAGUAAACAAAGAGACAAAGUGAGAAAAUGGGUAGAGAAAGAGAAAGAGAGAAUGGGAGAAAGAAAUUACUAAACCGUGCCAAGGGUAACAAGUGUUAUCAGUAGGUUUUUAUUUAAGUUACAGUAUCUCAAAAAAGUGAGUACACCCCUCACAUUUUUUUAAA